AUGUACAAUUAGUCUCUAUCUGGUUCUAAAGAAGAAUUCAGCAAUACAACAAAGAAAACAUCGGUUGAGCUUUCACUGAUUUGGGUGAGAUUGCCCAAAAUGUACUAUUAGUCUUUCUCUGGUUCUAAAGAAGAGUUCAACCAUACACCAAAGUAAACAUCGCGCUUUGAGAAUUCAAAUUUUGAAUUUCACCUGUCCAUUUCCCCAAAUGUUUUGCUUUUGAAUUCCAUCGAGCAAAGCAAUCCAUUGACUUUCUCAUACCUCACUCUUCACAGUUCACGCCAACUCAACUCAUCUGGUUUUCUCUCUACACACAAACUCAUCUGGUUCUCUCUAUUAGAGGAUGAUUAGAAGCAUGAAGCUUCAAAUCUGAUAUUAGAUCGAUCAAGCAAAUUAUCCGAGGCACUCACGGAGGUGUAGACUUCACGGUCUUAGAGGUGAGUUCUCGGCACUCACCGGAGGUGUAGAUUUCACAUUCACAUAGGUAAGGGGUUAGAUUCUGAAACUGGAAGUACUGUUGGUGGAGGAAACAUGGUUGGAAGUUUUUUCUUUAUAUAGUUAUACCCCAUAUGGCCAGCUAAAAGCUAUCAUCAUUGGUCAGGAAGGGGUGACUCCAGUUCAGAUGUGAGUUCAGAGCAUAGUGAGAAUGCCGCUGAAGAUAUUUUGAUAUUCUUUUACCAGUUGGAUUUGGCAACGCCAGUACAGGUUUUUACAUGCUUUUUUCAUUGUAUAUGGGGCAGGAUUUGGUUUGAAACUUGUCGAAUCUUGUGGUGGAGGUGUAAGGUGUUAAAGGAGUUGUAGGGCUUUCUUGAUGUCCUAAGGGCGGCGAUUAGCGGUGGUUUUAAGCUCGAGUAACAGCAGCGACCAAAAAUGCUUAGAUCGGCCGCUACAUGUGAUUAAGGUUCAGGUGGCGGCGUUGGAAAGUAUAUGCCGUAUACUAAGGCAAUGGAGAUAAAACCGUUUUCUGGCUAAGACCUUGACCGAUAGGCACAACAUGGGUCAUUACCAACCAGAUCUGCGAUGGUGUCGGGUGUGUGUGCUUAUUUACGGCUAGCUCACGUAAGAUUCAGCUAUUUUAUAUGUCAUUCCAACGAGAUUAUUUGUGAAAACUGUUGAUUUGUCUCUACUUGUAUGAUUUUUGGCAAGUUUGGAGGCAGAGUUGAUAGUUGAAAGUUGUUACCAAAUUGUGUUAUCAGCUGCAAUAUUACUGAAUGCUUUUCAGUGGUGAGUAGUGGCGGUUUAGGGUUCUUACAGGAGUAAAUUAGUGGCUUUAGAUUAGGAAGACUGAGGCUUGGUUGUGGUUACGGAGCUCUAACGAUUCAAGAUGAAGCUGCAAUGGCUUUGGCAGCUGCAGCAAACAUCAGAUCGAAACUGCAGGUUCACGGCUUACUCAAUCAUGAUUAGUUUGGAGGGUUGCAUUUACCAUAAAUCAGUAUUGGAGUGAAUUAUACGGGAUAACAAAAUGAUGGCUGUCCAUCUACCCGAGGAAACAGAUGGGAAAAAAUCAGGCACGACACCUCCCAGCUACGGUUCUAGCGUCGCGGUUCUAGCUACUAGACAGCUUUCUGCAUUGCAUUGUAGCUUCUUUUGUGGCUCAAAAGUAUCUAAAAACUGCACAUAUUUUGUUUGUGUUAUAAUGCACUUAUCCUGUCCACUAAUGAAAUUUAGAAGUUUGUCUGAAUUAGAACUUCACUUAUUUGAAAUAGUGUGGAAGUUUAUCUGAAUUAGAACUUCACUUAUUUGAAAUAGAGGAACUGAGAUGGUGUAUACUCUAAUACAAUAUAAAUGUGUAUUUUGAUUUUUGA